CCUGGACUCGCUUUGUAGACCAGGCUGGCGUCAAAUUCACAGAGAUGUGCCUGUCUCUGCCUCCUGAGUGCUAUAAU
ensembl:miRNA Gm24575 predicted gene, 24575